GGUGAACGCUGGCGGUAGGCCUAACACAUGCAAGUCGAACGGCAGCACAGUAAGAGCUUGCUCUUACGGGUGGCGAGUGGCGGACGGGUGAGGAAUACAUCGGAAUCUACUUUUUCGUGGGGGAUAACGUAGGGAAACUUACGCUAAUACCGCAUACGACCUACGGGUGAAAGCAGGGGAUCUUCGGACCUUGCGCGAUUGAAUGAGCCGAUGUCGGAUUAGCUAGUUGGCGGGGUAAAGGCCCCCCAAGGCGACGAUCCGUAGCUGGUCUGAGAGGAUGAUCAGCCACACUGGAACUGAGACACGGUCCAGACUCCUACGGGAGGCAGCAGUGGGGAAUAUUGGACAAUGGGCGCAAGCCUGAUCCAGCCAUACCGCGUGGGUGAAGAAGGCCUUCGGGUUGUAAAGCCCUUUUGUUGGGAAAGAAAAGCAGCAGGUUAAUACCCCGCUGUUCUGACGGUACCCAAAGAAUAAGCACCGGCUAACUUCGUG
rnacentral:rRNA from 1 species